rnacentral:rRNA from 1 species
UACGUAGGGGGCGAGCGUUGUCCGGAUUUACUGGGCGUAAAGCGCGUGUAGGCGGGAGAUUAAGUUGGGUGUGAAAGCCCGGGGCUCAACCCCGGGAUGCCGCCCAAGACUGGUCUCCUUGAGGACGGAAGAGGGGAGUGGAAUUCCUGGUGUAGCGGUGAAAUGCGUAGAGAUCAGGAGGAACACCCGUGGCGAAGGCGGCUCCCUGGUCCGUUUCUGACGCUGAGACGCGAAAGCGCGGGGAGCAAACGGG